UACGUAGGGUCCGAGCGUUGUCCGGAAUUAUUGGGCGUAAAGGGCUCGUAGGCGGUCCGUCACGUCGGGAGUGAAAACUCAGGGCUCAACCCUGAGCGUGCUUCCGAUGACGGGGCGGACUAGAGGUAUGCAGGGGGAGAACGGGAAUUCCUGGUGAGCGGUGAAAUGCGCAGAUAUCGGGAAGAACACCCGUGGCGAAGGCGGUUCUCUGGGACGGUACUGACGCUGAGACGCGAAAGCGUGGGGGGCAAACAGG
rnacentral:rRNA from 1 species